GAUGAACGCUAGCUACAGGCUUAACACAUGCAAGUCGAGGGGCAGCAUGGCCUAUCUUUCGGGAUAGGCUGAUGGCGACCGGCGCACGGGUGAGUGACGCGUAUCCAACCUUCCCUUUACUGGGGUUCAGCCCGUCGAAAGGCGGAUUAAUCCCCCAUGUUCUCCGUCCCGGACAUCUGUGUCGGAGCAAAGAUUUAUCGGUAAAGGAUGGGGAUGCGUCCGAUUAGCUUGUUGGCGGGGUAACGGCCCACCAAGGCAUCGAUCGGUAGGGGUUCUGAGAGGAAGGUCCCCCACACUGGAACUGAGACACGGUCCAGACUCCUACGGGAGGCAGCAGUGAGGAAUAUUGGUCAAUGGCCGCAAGGCUGAACCAGCCAAGUAGCGUGAGGGAAGACUGCCCUAUGGGUUGUAAACCUCUCUUAUGCGGGGAUAAAGGCGUCCACGUGUGGAUGUUUGCAGGUACCGCAUGAAUAAGGACCGGCUAAUUCCGUGCCAGCAGCCGCGGUAAUACGGAAGGUCCGGGCGUUAUCCGGAUUUAUUGGGUUUAAAGGGAGCGUANGCCGGUCUUUAGCGUGCCGUGAAAUUUUGUGGCUCAACCAUGAGAGUGCGGCGCGAACUGGAGACCUUGAGUGCGCGGAAGGCAGGCGGAAUUCGUGGUGUAGCGGUGAAAUGCUUAGAUAUCACGAAGAACCCCGAUUGCGAAGGCAGCCUGCCGCAGCGUUACUGACGCUGAAGCUCGAAAGCGCGGGUAUCGAACAGGAUUAGAUACCCUGGUAGUCCGCGCGGUAAACGAUGGAUGCCCGCCGUCGGCGAUAUACAGUCGGCGGCCAAGCGAAAGCGUUAAGCGUCCCACCUGGGGAGUACGCCGGCAACGGUGAAACUCAAAGGAAUUGACGGGGGCCCGCACAAGCGGAAGAACAUGUGGUUUAAUUCGAUGAUACGCGAGGAACCUUACCCGGGCUUGAAUUGCAGAGGAAAGAUCCAGAGAUGGUGAUGCCCUUCGGGGUCUCUGUGAAGGUGCUGCAUGGUUGUCGUCAGCUCGUGCCGUGAGGUGUCGGCUUAAGUGCCAUAACGAGCGCAACCCCUUUCCCUAGUUGCCAUCGGUUUUGGCCGGGCACUCUGGGGACACUGCCUCCGCAAGGAGUGAGGAAGGUGGGGAUGACGUCAAAUCAGCACGGCCCUUACGUCCGGGGCUACACACGUGUUACAAUGGGUGAUACAGAGGGCCGGCCGCUGGCAACAUCGGUCCAAUCCUUAAAGUCAUCCUCAGUUCGGACUGGGGUCUGCAACCCGACCCCACGAAGCUGGAUUCGCUAGUAAUCGCGCAUCAGCCAUGGCGCGGUGAAUACGUUCCCGGGCCU
rnacentral:rRNA from 1 species